CUGGACUACAGACGGGCUCUUUGGAAAGCCCUACAACCUGUCUGUUACCUGCGUCCCCGCCAGCGCAUCGGCGCUCCGCAGCUCCUGGAUGCAGCUCUGCAGCAGCUCCGAUGCCCGCCGGAGGCUGGCUGUGAAGGGAUGCAAUUUCUGCGGGUGGGACACACAGCAGGGAUGCCUGUGAGACACGAAGCAGCGGUGGGGACGGAGGGGCACCGCGGGGAGGUGAGGCGAUGGCUAACGGCGUGAUAACAGACACCUGGAAGAACUGAACCCACUCGCCGUGGCAGUACGGGAAGGUGCCAUCCAGCUCCUGUGUCAGCUGGGAGCUGUCGACGUAGCGGCCCAGAGCCUUCAGCGACGCCAGGGUCUCCACCUGCGGGGCACAUGGAGCUUGUGAGCACUGCAGGACCAUGCCAGGUCCCUCCCCAGGGACAGCCUGGAGCAGGGGGCACAACCCAGUCCUACCCCAAGCACCCUGCCCAGUUAACCCGCGCCGUGCAGCGGCCCCGGGAGCGCAGCGUGCCAGUGCCGGCAGGGCUGAGCGCAGCGUGCGGCAGCUCCGCUCGGAGCAGCUCCUGCCGGCUCCGCGGUGUUUGAAUGCAUGGGAGAUCGCCGGGACUGCAAUAAUCUGCCAUGACAGCCAAGCUAGGAGACAAUGUGGGGACAGGAGGAGGGGACGGGGACAGGGACAAGGACAGGCUCACCUGCACCCCGGGCAGCCUCUCGCGGUGGGUGACCAGCUCCUUCUCGGCCAGCAGCAG